UAAGAUAUAGUUAUAUAUAUAAUAUCCUCCUGUCUCGAGGAAGUAUUCAUCUUAG
rnacentral:tRNA from 1 species